rnacentral:rRNA from 1 species
GAUGAACGCUGACAGAAUGCUUAACACAUGCAAGUCAACUUGAACUUCGGUUUGGGUGGCGGACGGGUGAGUAACGCGUACAGAACUUGCCUCACAGUUAGGGACAACAUUUGGAAACGAAUGCUAAUACCUGAUAUUAUGAUUUUAGGGCAUCCUAGAAUUAUGAAAGCUAUAUGCGCUGUGAGAGAGCUUUGCGUCCCAUUAGCUAGUUGGAGAGGUAACGGCUCACCAAGGCGAUGAUGGGUAGCCGGCCUGAGAGGGUGAACGGCCACAAGGGGACUGAGACACGGCCCUUACUCCUACGGGAGGCAGCAGUGGGGAAGAUUGGACAAUGGACAAAGAGUCUGAUCCAGCAAUUCUGUGUGAACGAUGAAGUUUUUCGGAAUGUAAAGUGCUUUCAGUUGGGAAGAAAAAAAUGACGGUACCAACAGAAGAAGUGACGGCUAAAUACGUG